rnacentral:rRNA from 1 species
UACGAAGGGUGCAAGCGUUACUCGGAAUUACUGGGCGUAAAGCGUGCGUAGGCGGUUCGUUAAGUCUGUCGUGAAAGCCCUGGGCUCAACCUGGGAAUUGCGAUGGAUACUGGCGAGCUAGAGUACGGUAGAGGAUGGUGGAAUUCCCGGUGUAGCGGUGAAAUGCGUAGAGAUCGGGAGGAACACCCGUGGCGAAGGCGGCUCACUGGCCCGGUACUGACGCUGAGGUGCGAAAGCGUGGGGAGCAAACAGG